rnacentral:rRNA from 1 species
UGGGGAAUAUUGCACAAUGGGGGGAACCCUGAUGCAGCGACGCCGCGUGAGGGAAGAAGGUUUUCGGAUUGUAAACCUCUGUCUUGUGGGACGAUAAUGACGGUACCACAGGAGGAAGCCAUGGCUAACUACGUGCC